GACGAACGCUGGCGGCGUGCUUAACACCUGCAAGUCGAACGAAGUGGCGAACGGGUGAGUAACGCGUAAUCAACCUGCCCUUCAGAGGGGGCCAACAGUUGGAAACGACUGCUAAUACAGCAUACUGAAGGAGGGGCUUGCGUCUCAUUAGCUAGUUGGAGGGGUAACGGCCCAACAAGGCGAUGAUCAGUAGCCGGUCUGAGAGGAUGAACGGCAAAAAUUGGAAUGGGACACGGCCCAGAAGACUACGGGAGGCAGGAGGUGGGAAACUGCCGGAAUGGGGGAAAGUCUGACGGAGCAACGCCGCGUGAGUGAUGACGGACUUCGGGUGGGAAAGCUCUGUUAAUCGGGACGCGGUACCUGAAUAGAAAGCCACGGCUAACUACGUGCCAGCAGGCGCGGUAAUUC
rnacentral:rRNA from 1 species